rnacentral:rRNA from 1 species
AGCUCCAAUAGCGUAUAUUAAAGUUGUUGCAGUUAAAAAGCUCGUAGUUGGAUCUCGGGUUCGGACUGGCGGUCCUACUCACGUAGGUACUGCUUGUUCCGACCUCCCUGCCGGUUUUUCCCUUGGUGCUCUUCGCUGAGUGCCUUGGGUGGCCGGAACGUUUACUUUGAAAAAAUUAGAGUGUUCAAGGCAGGCGUCUCGCCUGAAUAUUGUUGCAUGGAAUAAUGGAAUAGGACCUCGGUUCUAUUUUGUUGGUUUUCGGAACUUGAGGUAAUGAUUAAGAGGGACAGACGGGGGCAUUAGUAUUACGGUGUUAGAGGUGAAAUUCAUGGAUCGCCGUAAGACUAACUACUGCGAAAGCAUUUGCCAAGAAUGUUUUCA